AUUGAACGCUGGCGGCAGGCCUAACACAUGCAAGUCGGGCGCGCGGCUGACGGGUGAGUAAUGUAUGGGGCUCUGCCUGCUGGAGGGGGAUCACUACUGGAAACGGUAGCUAAUACCGCAUACCAUCAGAUGUGCCCCGAUGGGAUUAGCUAGUAGGUGGGGUAAUGGCUCACCUAGGCGACGAUCCCUAGCUGGUCGGAGAGGAUGACCAGCCACACGGGAACUGAGACACGGUCCAGACGCCUACGGGAGGCAGCAGUGGGGAAUAUUGCACAAUGGGCGCAAGCCUGAUGCAGCCAUGCCGCGUGUAUGAAGAAGGCCUUCGGGUUGUAAAGUACUUUCAGCGAGGAGGCGUUACUCGCAGAAGAAGCACCGGCUAACUCCGUGCCAGCAGCCGCGGUAAUUC
rnacentral:rRNA from 1 species